rnacentral:rRNA from 1 species
AUGGGGUGGAAUGCGACGACGGAAUGGUUGGCAAUGUGCAGGCUGAACUGCCCGCCUUUCUCGCUCACGUCGAGCUUGUCCACGCCUGGCGGCGGCACCAUCUCGAAGCUCCUCACCAGCUUCCCGACGAUGAGCGCCAGGAUGGGCAGCGCGAGGAUGAUACCGGGGCAGCUGCGCCGCCCCACGCCGAACGGGAGGAACCGGAAGUCCACCUUGCCGCCGACCGUGGCGUCCACGUUGCUCUCCUCGCCCAAGAACCUCUCCGGCUUGAACUCCUCCGGCUUCUCCCAUAGCUCUGGGUUGUUGGCCAGCCACCAGGCGUUGACGACGACCUUGGAGCCCUUGGGAAUGGUGUAG